AUGAACGCUGGCGGCGUGCCUAACACAUGCAAGUCGAACGAUGGUCGCAAGACCUAGUGGCGAACGGGUGGAGUAACACGUAGGAAUUUGCCUCGAACUGGGGAGAUAAUGGCCAUAAGCCUGGUAAUACCCCCAUAGUCCCGCAGGGUAAAGCAGCAAUGCGGUUUCGAGAGAAGCCUGCGUCCUAUCAGCCUAGUCUGGUGAGGGUAAUGGCUUACCAAGGCCUAUGACCGGGUAGGGGGUGUGAGAGGCAUGACCCCCCCACAAUGGGACUGAGACACGGCCCAAUACACCUACGGGUGGCAGCAAGUUGGGAAUUGUACACAAUGGGCGCAAGCCUGAUGUCGCGACGCCGCCGUGGAGGAUGAAGGCUUUCGGGUCGUAAACUCCUUUUCCCAGGGAAAAUUGUGAUGGUACCUGGGGAAUAAGGACCUGCUAACUACGUGCCAGCAGCCGCGGUAAUACGUAGGGUCCAAGCGUUAUCCGGAUUUAUUGGGCGUAAAGCACAUGUAGGUGGUUUUGAUAAGUCCUCUUUUUAAAGCUUCUGGGCUCAACCCAGAAUCUGGGAGAGGAUACUGUUCAGGGCUAGUGGUCAGCAGGGGGCAAAUGGAAUUUAUGGUGUAGGAGUGAAAUCCGUUGAUAUCAUAAGGAACACCAAUGGUGAAGGCAAUUUGCUAGGCUGAUUCAGACACUGAGAUGUGGAAGCGUGGGGAGCGAACGGGAAUUAGAUACCCCCGGUAGUCCACGCCGGUAAACGAUGCACACUAGGCAUUGGGAAGUAUCGACCCUCCUUGUGCCGAAAGCUAACGCGUUUAUAAGUGUGCCGCCUGGGAAGUACGGUCGCAAGACUAAAACUCAAAGGAAUUGACGGGGGCUCGCACAAGCGGUGGAGCAUGUGGUUUAAUUCGACGACAAGCGGGGGAACCUCACCCAGGCUUGACCAUCUCGGGAAAGCCUAUGAAAGUAGGGCCGUGCCCGCAAGGAAACCCGAUGACAGGUGUUGCACGGUCCGUCGUCAGCUCGUGUCGUGAGAUGUACGGUUUAAGUCCGUAAACGAGCGAAACCCUCGUCCAGUGUUAUAUUUUUCACUGGAGACUGCCGGCUUUUAAGCUGGAGGAAAGGUGGGGAUGACGUCAGAUCAGCGUGGCCCUUACGCCUGGGGCAACACAACGUGCUACAAUGCCAUAGACAAUGAGUCGCCAAGCCGCGAGGCGGAGCUAAUCUCACCAAAAUAUGGCCCAGUUCGGAUUGAAGUCUGCAAACUCGACUUCAUGAAGCCGGAAAUCGCUAGUAACCGUGUUAUCAGAACGUCACGGUGAAUACGUUCUCGAGCCUUGUACACACCGCCCGUCCAAGUGAGCCGAGUCGGCAGCACCAGAAGUGCCUUCCAAGGUACCAAGGUGAGGUCGGUAAGGAGCACU
rnacentral:rRNA from 1 species